rnacentral:lncRNA from 1 species
UGACAAACACAUAACACAUAAACAAGCAAAAUUUUAUUUUAUGUUUAUUGAAAAUUAACAUGCGAAACAAGUUGACUUUCAGAGUGCAAACCCUCGAAAAACUCUCUCUCUCUCUCACUCCUAUAGGGCUUCCUGCUGUCGGUUGAACGCUGGUGGAUCUUUUGAUCUCUGGCUUUCUUGCAACGCUGACUUGCCUCCUCCUUUUUUAUUCUUUUCAUGAGUGAGCUGCUGCAUGUCGGUUUCUCGUUGAUCUCUGCUGGAUCUACCAGGGAGGGUGGGGAGAAAUCGAAGGUUUCUCCUCCGUCGUGGGCCUCGAUUGGUGGGAGUAGGGAUAAUGAUUUGAAAAUUUUGGAAGUACUUGACUCUGUUGUUAUUGAUGGAGUUCUAUCAUCCCUAAGGAUGUGACUGAGAAAGGAAUGGAAAAAAUGUGUGCAGCUGCUGUUGCUCAAUUUGUAGGUUCUGCUCCACCGAUUCACGUUAUUGCGUAAAUGAUAAAUAGGUUAUGGGGAGGAUAUAACGGAGAGAUUACUAUUUCUAAGGUUUCCAAAGGAUUUUUCUUGUUUGAAUUCCCAUCAAUCUCCCUUUGUGACUGGUUUUGGGGAAGACCUGGCAUAUCCAUCACUCUCCAAUGGUUUUGCAGAAAGGGAAGCCAAGAAGUGCUCCGUUGGAUUUGGAAGUUAAGGAGGUUCCCACCUGGAUUCGUCUGCAGGAUGUUCUUCCUUAGUUGAUCACAAAUGCUGGAAUUGAAUGGUUGGUUAUAAAACUGGAACUCCGAUUAAUCAAUUUAUUUAUGAAGGUCUCACGGUUAAGGUUUGCAUUUUACUUGGGAAGGGUAAGUCAUGUCCAGAGAAUCUCUCUAUCAGUUUGAAUGGAUUGAGAUAUUUUAUUUCAAUUGAUUUGCUUUGUGUGAGAAGUUAUGAGAGAAAGAAACCAGUUCCCAUCGUUAAUGCCUGCUUUUUCUUCAAGGGAAUUGGGAAUUGAGCCUUCAUUGGAAGGGGAGAUACCUCUUCCCAAGGAACCUGGCUUGGCAUCGACAAGAGGGGGGUGAUAAUUGGUAUUGAGACUCCUUCGAGGGCGGAGAUUGAGAUGAUCCAGCAGGCUUCAGUGGUUCAAGCUGUGCAAGUGGAGACUGCAGUCCUAUCCCCUCUUGAGGUUGAUAUUGAGAAUCAUGUUGAUGAUUUGGUUUCAUCGAUUGUUCAGAAUGCUCUUAUUGAAGAAUCUGAAGAAGGUAUUGAGAAGAACUCUAAGGAGAUUGUGGCUGAAUAGCAAGGUGUACCUCCAGAUUUUCGAUCUCCUGGUCAAGCAAUUUUGGGUGAGUUUAUUUGUACAGGAAAUCUGCCUCCAACUAAAGCUAAGAGAGACCGUAGGAAAGGUAAGAAAUGAAAAUCCUGGUAUGGAACCAGCGGGGUUUCAAAACCCCUGUGAAGCAUAGUUAUAUAUAGAUAUUUUUUGUAUUCUUGAGACUAGAGUUAAAAGUAAUAAAGAAAAUAAGAUUCAGGAAACUCUUUUCUUGAAUUAGCAGCAUUUUACUAAUUAUGAUUAUGGUAGUUUGGGGAAGAAUUGGAUUUUGUGGAGGACAUGCAUUCAACUCAGUGUGCUUCACCAUUCUUAGCAGCUUGUGUUAAUGAAGUUGAGGGUGCUAAUCCUUUUUAUAUAUGUAUCGUUUAUGGUGCCAAUAACAAAGCAAAGGGGAAAGGAAAAGGAUGUAUGAUCAAACACUUGG